UGCCCCUAUUUCUUUGACGGCGGCGGCGGAAUGGACGGCCGGAUUCCACCCGUCAACGACGGCGAGGAAAACGCGGCUCCACUCGCCCUACCUCCCUGUGUGGUGCUUUCGGCGCCCCCUUGGCCCCCUUGCAGGAGCGCGCGUGCACCCGAAGGUGCGCGCGUCGCCGUCAAGGGGCUCAGCGGCGGCCGCCUCUUUGCCGGCGUCCAUCAAUGGCCGGUGGGGGUCUUCUCCGGCGGCAAGCGGCCAUGGAGACAGGGGGCCUACGGCCUCUCUGUUCUUUCUCGGGUAAGAGCUAGGGUUAGAAAUUUUUCUUUUCUUUUUUAUUUCCCUUUUUCUUUUCUUCUUUCUUUUUCCUCCUCUUUUCCGAUGGAUCUACAACUCUAGAACAGCUCUGAUACCAUUGAUAGGUUUGCUAGGUGUAGAUCGAUCGGUAGAAGUUUCUGUGAUUCAACUAGAUUUCGGUAUGGGAUAGAGACAGAGAGAGAGGAAGAAGGGGAACAUACCUUCACUUUGGGACGACGAGGAGCUCGACGGGGCGGCCGUGUCGACGGCGAGGGAGAGACGGCGGCGACGGCGGAGCUUCCCGUCGCUGUCUGCGCAAAACCCUAGAUCGGUAGGGAGUGUCGGUGGGGUUGGUGGCAAACGCAGCGAACCUCGUAGUGCGUGCACCGGCCCCCCACCUCUUUAUAUAGCGCAGCACGACAGGGGCCCGCCAACCAUACUGGGUUGGGCGCCCCCGAUCAGGGCGCGUCAGGUCUAGGCCCGGUGGGCCGUUGGGCCCACUCGGCUGGGAGAUCACUCUAACACACGGCAGCAGUGGUAAUUAUACAAGUUGGCCCCGAUUAUACUUUGGGCAACUCUUUGUUAUUCGUCAUUAUCAAGAAAAUAACCACAUUUUUUAAUCGCUAUUUCCUCUUUCCACAAAGAAACGCGCACCCAUUUCGAGAUCGAAUAUUUGAAUUUUGACCGACGAUCAGACCAAUAAUAUGUAGAGACAGAGUACUCCAUCUCUUUCAAAUAUAGGGCCUACGCGUAUCUUUAGAUCGAGGAUUUAACUAAUGCUAAUGAGUUUUACAUUAGAAAAAGUAU
rnacentral:lncRNA from 1 species